UGNNANUGGCCNGACGUCGCAUGCUCCNGGCCNCUCAUGGCGGCCGNNGGNAUUUGANUGAGUUUGAUCCUGGCUCAGGACGAACGCUGGCGGCGUGCNUAAUACAUGCAAGUCGAGCGAGGUCCAGCGGCUUUCGGGCUGCGAAGACCUAGCGGCGAACGGGUGAGUAACACGUGAGAAACCUGCCCUGGAGACUGGGAUAAGCCGGGGAAACCUGGUCUAAUACCGGAUGUCCUCACCGGAUCGAGUGUUCUGGUGAGGAAAUGGUCCGCCGCUCCAGGAGGGUCUCGCGGCCUAUCAGCUUGUUGGUGAGGUAACGGCUCACCAAGGCGAAGACGGGUAGCUGGUCUGAGAGGACGAUCAGCCACACUGGGACUGAGACACGGCCCAGACUCCUACGGGAGGCAGCAGUAGGGAAUCUUGCGCAAUGGGCGAAAGCCUGACGCAGCAACGCCGCGUGGGGGAUGACGGCUUUCGGGUUGUAAACCCCUUUCGGCAGGGACGAAAAUGACGGUACCUGCAGAAGAAGCCCCGGCCAACUACGUGCCAGCAGCCGCGGUAACACGUAGGGGGCAAGCGUUGUCCGGAAUCAUUGGGCGUAAAGAGCUCGUAGGCGGCUCGGUAAGUCGGGCGUGAAAUUUCAGGGCUCAACCCUGAAACGCCGUCCGAUACUGCCGUGGCUAGAGUCCGGUAGAGGAGCGUGGAAUUCCAAGUGUAGCGGUGAAAUGCGCAGAUAUUUGGAGGAACACCAGCAGCGAAGGCGGCGCUCUGGGCCGGUACUGACGGUGAGGAGCGAAAGCAUGGGGAGCAAACAGGAUUAGAUACCCNGGUAGUC
rnacentral:rRNA from 1 species